rnacentral:lncRNA from 1 species
CAAGCAGGUGUCCACAUACUUUUGGUAUUUUAGAGUGUAUUUUAAUGAUAAAAUCCAUUAGCUAUUUUGGUGAUUAUAAGUGAGGAUAUAAAAGUGGGAAAUGAUUCAUACCUAACAUUUCAUGACUCUGUGUGUGUUUAGGUGUGUGUGUGUGUGUGUUUGUCUGUGUGUCUGUGUGUGUGUGUGUGUGUGGGUCUGCUUGUGACUCAUUCAGUAAGUGAUAUAUAUGUACAUGAACAAGUUCAUGUGUUUGCAUGCGUGUGCUGGCUACAGGUUAAUGUGUUAGCAAGCGUGUGCUGGCUACAGGUUAAUGUGUUAGCAAGCGUGUGCUGGCUACAGGUUAAUGUGUUUGCAUGCGUGUGCUGGCUACAGGUAAUACGUUAGCAAGGUGUGCUGGCUACAGGUUAAUACGUUAGCAAGCAUGUGCUGGCUACAGGUAAUACUUAAUCACGUGUGCUGGCUACAGGUUAAUACGGUUAGCAAGCGUGUGUGGCUACAGGUUAAUACGUUAGCAUACGUGUGCUGGCUACAGGUUAAUACAGUUAGCAGCGUGUGCUGGCUCAGUUAAUGUGUUUGCAGCGUGUGCUGGCUACAUGUUAAUUGUUUGAUCGGUGCUGGCUACAGGUUAAUACGUUAGCAAGCGUUGUGUGGCUACAGGUUAAUACGUUCACGCAUGUGCUGGCUACAGGUUAAUUACGUUAGCAAGCGUUUGCG